rnacentral:rRNA from 1 species
CCUACGGGCGGCCGCAGUGGGGAAUAUUGCACAAUGGGGGAAACUCUGAUGCAGCAAAGCCGCGUGAGUGAAGAAGUAUCUCUGUAUGUAAAGCUUCAUCAGUAGGGAAGAAGAUGACGGUACCUGAUUAAGAAGCCCCGGCUAAUUACGUGCCAGCAGCCGCGGUAAUACGCAGGGGGCAAGCGUUAUCCGGAUUUACUGGGUGUAAAGGGAGCGCAGACGGGAGUGCAAGUCUGGAGUGAAAGCCCGGGGCCCAACGCCGGAAUUGCUCUGGAAACUGUGCGGCUAGAGUACUGGUGAGGCAGGCGGAAUUCGUGGUGUAGCGGUGAAAUGCUUAGAUAUCAGGAAGAACACCGAUGGCGAAGGCAGCCUACUAGACAGUAACUGACGUUGAGGCUCGAAAGCGUGGGGAGCAAACAGGAUUAGAUACCCGUGUAGUC